rnacentral:rRNA from 1 species
GACGAACGCUGGCGGCGUGCUUAACACAUGCAAGUCGAACGGUGAAGCUCAAGCUUGCUUGGGUGGAUCAGUGGCGAACGGGUGAGUAACACGUGAGCAACCUGCCCCGGACUCUGGAAUAAGCGCUGGAAACGGCGUCUAAUACUGGAUAUGACACCAAUCCGCAUGGGUAUGGUGUGGAAAGUUUUUCGGUCUGGGAUGGGCUCGCGGCCUAUCAGCUCGUUGGUGAGGUAAUGGCUCACCAAGGCGACGACGGGUAGCCAGCCUGGGAGGGCGACCGGCCACACUGGGACUGAGACACGGGCCAGACUCCUACGGGAGGCAGCAGUGGGGAAUAUUGCACAAUGGGCGAAAGCCUGAUGCAGCGACGCCGCGUGAGGGAUGACGGCCUUCGGGUUGUAAACCUCUUUCAGCAGGGAAGAAGCAAAAGUGACGGUACCUGCAGAAGAAGCACCGGCUAACUACGUGCCAGCAGCAGCCGCCGUAA